CAUCAGACGCAAUCUGCCGCAAAAAUCAUGCGGUCAACGCAUUAUUGGAUACCUUGGCGAAACGCCAAGCUAAUACAUGAACAAAAGGGAUGUCCUCCAUUCACGCGGUGCAAGGGCUUGCCCGAACAUCGUAGCGAGGCGUCCAGCGAAUGAAUGAAAGUAAAACCCAUGCCGCGGACGCGGCAGUAACACUCAGAAGUGUUGAAUCAAUUCAUUCCGUGCGAAAGCCGGUCUAACCGGCGUCUUUUGACGAACAACUGCCCUAUCAGCCAGUGAUGGCCGUGUAGUGGACUGCCAUGGCUUUGACGGGAGCGGGGGAUUAGGGUUCGAUUCCGGAGAGGGAGCCUGAGAAAUAGCUACCACUUCUACGGAGGGCUUCUAUAGUCGGCCCCUUGGCGAAAGCCAUGCCACCAGAGGAAUUUGGUUCGAGACUAGAAACAAACAAAA
rnacentral:rRNA from 1 species